rnacentral:lncRNA from 1 species
GAGUAGCUGGUAUUACAGGCGUGUGCCACAAAGCCUGGCUAAGUUUUGUAUUUUUAGUAGAGACGGGGUUUCACCAUGUUGGCCAGGUUGGUCUCGAACUCCUGACCUCAAGUGAUCCACUCACUUUGGCCUUUCAACGUGCUGGGAUUACAGGCGAGAGUCACCGCACCCGGACGACUCUGACAUUUUUGAAGAGUCCAGAAUCCUGUUACACCUGGGAUUUAGGCACUUUCAAUCUGAAAAAAUACAUAUCCUUUCAGCACUCUGGACGGACUUGAGAACUGUCCUUACGUGACCUAAAGCUGGAGUAUUUUGAGAUUGGAGAAUUAAGGCUACAGAGAAACAAGGAGACGGGAGAGCCUUGAAAUGGACCUUCAAGAUUACAAUGUGUAGCUGACAUUGUCAGUUAAGUUGGGCAGAUCUGACUUCGCUGAUUAAGUGGAUGUAUGAGCCGAUCCUCCCCAGAAGCUGGGAUCAGCUUCCCCAUCUGAUGAGCCAGUCUUGGUGCUCUGUGUUCACCUGGUUCAUCUGAGGAGCUGCAUCUACCCUGCCCAUGCCAUAGAUCCUGCCCUGUUUGCUUCUCCUGUUGCUGCUAGUGGACAUGAGGUAACCACAGCCUAGUUCUGUGAUAAGCUCUUCACACCUGUACCCAUAUGGACUGUGGGAGAGUUUCUCUGAUAUGGACUGUGAUGCGGAAGGACAGAAUAACGGGCUCCCAGAUUCACAAGCCCCACCAAGAGGAUCACCCCAGGAACGCUUGGAGGCUGAGGAGUUCACUGAGGCUACUGCAUCUUGAGACUCAGGAUGAAGACCCAGCUUGGGGCUGUCAAAGGUUUUUUGCAUGUCUGACACCCAUGACUCCACCUGGACCUUAUGGCUCCACCCAGAAGCAAUUCAGCCCAACAGGAGGACAGCUUCAACCCAUUACGAUUUCAUCUCUGCCCCAACCACUCAGCAGCAAGCACCUGUUACCUGUCCACCCCCACCCCUUCCCCCAAACUGCCUUUGAAAAAUCCCUAACCUAUGAGCUUUGAAUAAGAUGAGUACGAACUUCAUCGCCCACGUGGCGUGGCCGGCCUCGUGUCUAUUAAAUUCUUUUUCUACUACAA